GAUGAAGAACGUAGCGAAAUGCGAUAAGUAGUGUGAAUUGCAGAAUUCAGUGAAUCAUCGAAUCUUUGAACGCACAUUGCGCCCCUUGGUAUUCCAUGUGGCAUGCCUGUUCGAGCGUCAUUUGUACCUUCAAGCUUUGCUUGGUGUUGGGUGUUUGUCUCGCCUCCGCGUGUAGACUCGCCUCAAAACAAUUGGCAGCCGGCGUAUUGAUUUCGGAGCGCAGUACAUCUCGCGCUUUGCACUCACAACGACGACGUCCAAAAGUACAUUUUUACACUCUUGACCUCGGAUCAGGUAGGGAUACCCGCUGAACUUAAGCAUAUCAAUAAGCGGAGGA
rnacentral:misc_RNA from 1 species